rnacentral:rRNA from 1 species
GGCGGACGGGUGAGUAACACGUGAGCAACCUGCCUAUCAGAGGGGGAUAACGAUUGGAAACGAUCGCUAAUACCGCAUGACAUAGCGGAAUCGCAUGGUUCUGUUAUCAAAGAUUUUAUCGCUGAUAGAUGGGCUCGCGUCCGAUUAGAUAGUUGGUGGGGUAACGGCCUACCAAGUCGACGAUCGGUAGCCGGACUGAGAGGUCGAACGGCCACAUUGGGACUGAGACACGGCCCAGACUCCUACGGGAGGCAGCAGUGGGGGAUAUUGCACNAUGGGGGAAACCCUGAUGCAGCGACGCCGCGUGAGGGAAGACGGUCCUCUGGAUUGUAAACCUCUGUCUUCGGGGACGAAACGAGACGGUACCCGAGGAGGAAGCCACGGCUAACUACGUGCCAGCAGCCGCGGUAAUACGUAGGUGGCAAGCGUUGUCCGGAAUUACUGGGUGUAAAGGGAGCGUA